CAGUCGCCACGGUAAUACGAAGGGUGCAAGCGUUAGUCGGAAUUACUGGGCGUAAAGCGUGCGUAGGCGGUGAGUUAAGUCUGCUGUGAAAUCCCCGGGCUCAACCUGGGAAUGGCAGUGGAUACUGGCUCGCUAGAGUGUGUCAGAGGAUGGUGGAAUUCCCGGUGUAGCGGUGAAAUGCGUAGAGAUCGGGAGGAACAUCAGUGGCGAAGGCGGCCAUCUGGGACAACACUGACGCUGAGGCACGAAAGCGUGGGGAGCAAACAGGAUUAGAUACCCGAGUAGUCCCUGUCUCUUAUAC
rnacentral:rRNA from 1 species